rnacentral:rRNA from 1 species
UGCAAGUCGAACGGUAACAGGGAGAAGCUUGCUUUUCCGCUGACGAGUGGCGCACGGGUGCGCAACGCGUAUAGAACCUACCCUGUACAGGGGGAUAGCCCGGAGAAAUCCGGAUUAAUACCCCGUAGUAAUUAGAAUUGGCAUCGAUUUUAAUUUAAAGCUUCGGCGGUACAGGAUGGCUAUGCGUCCUAUUAGCCAGAUGGUGAGGUAACGGCUCACCAUAGCUAUGAUAGGUAGGGGCCCUGAGAGGGGGAUCCCCCACACUGGUACUGAGACACGGACCAGACUCCUACGGGAGGCAGCAGUGAGGAAUAUUGGACAAUGGGCUCACGCCUGAUCCAGCCAUGCCGCGUGCAGGAAGACAGCCCUAUGGGUUGUAAACUGCUUUUAUACGGGAAGAAUAAGGGGCACGUGUGCCCUGGUGACGGUACCGUAAGAAUAAGGACCGGCUAACUCCGUGCCAGCAGCCGCGGUAAUACG